rnacentral:lncRNA from 1 species
AGACAUUGGGUCUCCCUGUCUUAGACCCUUCCUUGCUUAAAUUUGCUGGUAAGACCUCCAUUGACUAGUAAAGAGAAACUUGCUGUAGAAACACACUCCAUGAUUAAGGUGACCAUUUUGUAGGGUACACCAAACUCCAGCAACACUGCUCUCAGAAAUCCCCAUUUAACAGAGUCAUAAGCUUUUCUGAUAUCCAUUUUGAUUAUGCACCUUGGAGAUACAACUUUCUGGGAAUAAGCUCGAAUCAAUUCAUAGGCAGGUGACCAUUUUGUAAGGUACACCAAACUCCAGCAACACUGCUCUCAGAAAUCCCCAUUCAACAGAGUCAUAAACUUUUCUAAUAUCCACUUUGAUUAUGCACCUGGGAGAUACAACUUUUUGGGAAUAAGCUCAAAUCAAUUCAUGGGCCAUAAUGACAUUGUCCAGGAUGUUUCUCCCCUCUAUGAAGGCUGAUUGUGCCUGCCCCACUAGAUAGUCCACAACUAUUUUAAGCCUGUUUGUAAGGAUUUUUGCAAUAACUUUGUACAGUGUUGAGCAGCAAGCAAUGGGCCUGUAUUCCUUAACAUAGUUGAGAUUCUUCACUUUUGGAAUCAAUGUAGCAGUGGUACAAUUAACUUCUUUCAGUAAUUUCCCAUUUUGAAAGAACUUCUGCACUGCCUCUAUAACCUCUUCACCCACAAUAGGCCAGAAUUGUUUGAAGAAUUCUGCAGGAUACCCAUCUAUUCCAGGAGCCUUGUCAUUAGGAAG